UCAAACAUAAAUUUUUUAAGAAAAUAAAUCUAAAUAAAAAAAUAUUUACAACAAGAGAACGGAACAUAUGUAUAGAUCAAAAAAAUUGAAGAAACAAGUUGGAUAAGGGAGAGGUUGACAUAAACUAAGAAGAUAAUAUAUAAUCCAUUAUACUUAAUGUGUUAAUGGUCUCAUAACAGAGAAACAAUUGCAUAGGAGCCUUUAAAUUAUUAUCUUGUAUGUCAAGUGUGCCAUUUAACAUGUUGCCCCU
rnacentral:lncRNA from 1 species